rnacentral:rRNA from 1 species
CCUACGGGUGGCAGCAGUGGGGGAUAUUGCACAAUGGGGGGAACCCUGAUGCAGCGACGCCGCGUGGGUGAAGGAGUGCUUCGGCAUGUAAAGCCCUAUCGGCAGGGAAGAAGCAAGACGGUACCUGACUAAGAAGCCCCGGCUAACUACGUGCCAGCAGCCGAGGUAAUACGUAGGGGGCGAGCGUUAUCCGGAUUCACUGGGUGUAAAGGGAGCGUAGACGGCCAUGCAGGCCAGGGGUGAAAGCCCGGGGCCCAACCCCGGGACUGCCCUUGAAACUGUGCGGCUAGAGUGCGGGAGGGGCAGGCGGAAUGCGUGGUGUAGCGGUGAAAUGCGUAGAUAUCAGGAGGAACACCGGCGGCGAAGGCGGCCUGCUGGACCGCGACUGACGUUGAGGCUCGAAAGCGUGGGGAGCGAACAGGAUUAGAUACCCUAGUAGUC